rnacentral:precursor_RNA from 15 species
GGGAAGGCAGGCCCACUGAGAUGGCGGGGCUAGCCCUUACCCCACCAAUUAAUAGUAUUAUUCUGUUAGAGUGGGGGAAGGUACUGCUCCUUCAUCUCACAGCACAUCACCCAUCAG